GCGCCUCUGCGCCUCCACUCUCCUCACACCAUUCAACCACGGAGCGAAGAGGCAUCACUGAAGGACUGGAGACCGGCGAAAUCGGACGUCAACCGCCACGCAACCGCACAGAGGCUUAUUUAUCACGCAUCAAACUUUACUCGAAGUGUACGGUCGCUGCGUCGACGAAAUGACGUCCCGCGUCUCGAAACCCCGGACUUUUUCCCGCUCCUCAUGCGCGGCGAGACGCCGCGCAGCGAGAUAACGCCCCGAAGUUAUCGCAAUGAAUGUCCAGACAUGAAAGAGUCGAGAGACACACACACACACGCAAACACGGGGUGCUGCGUCUGUCUGCGGUCUUCAACCAGCCUGCCAAAAGAUACACACACACACGCACACACAUUAAGGUGCAGCGUGGUGAACACCAGGUGUAAGAGGAAGGGACAUUCUUCUGCUUGCUCCAACACAUCUGAUGCUACCUGAUGUUUUAUGGUAUAGGUGGUAACCUGUUCUGUAUAUGUUUGAAUAAUGCUGUAGAAAUACAGGAAUAAAAAAAGAUAGUGCUGUAUCAGGGAGAGAGAGAGAGAGAGGGAGGGAG
ensembl:lncRNA